GUUUGUGGUAUUUGCACAUAUGGUGCUCCAGCUAUGUUAGGAUGUCAAUCUAGAUUUCAACGUUUGGUACUAAAUGAGUCACCAAAAGUCAUUGGAACUCAUUGUAUGAUUCAUCAGCAAAUAUUAGCAAUGAAGACGCUGCCACAAGUUAUAAGAAGUAAUGAAAAGUAUCAUAAGUUCUGUCAAUUUUGUAAAGGAAAGCACUUUAAACAGUCAACUGUUUUCACAACUGUGCAAAGAGUUGGAUGCACCAAACAAUGCUCUGCUAUUUCACACCAAAGUGAGAUGGUUUUUUAAUCAGAAAGCAAGACCGCAGUUGAAAGCACUUUUCAGCGAUAAAAGUGAACUCCAGAAAAUAGCUUACUUGGUUGACAUCUUUGCCAUCUUGAAUGAGUUGAAUUUAUCACUGCAAGGACCAAAUGCAACAUGCCUCGAUUUGUCUGAAAAGAUCCGAUCAUUGUAAAUGAAACUUCAGCUUUGG